rnacentral:tRNA from 1 species
AAUGAAAUGCCUGAUAAAAGGAUUAUUUUGAUAGAAUAAAACAUGAAAAAUCAAUUUUUCUUUCAUUA